rnacentral:lncRNA from 1 species
UUUGAGUUACUAAUAUCUAUGAGCUGUAAAACCUAUAGGAUCAUUAAAUUUUAAGUUUAAACUUGAAAUAAUAUGUGAAAAUAUUUAAGAAAAAUUUAUAAAUUAUAUCAUAUUAGAUGUUGUUAUGUAUUAAAUACUUUUAAAAGAUGUACAAACGUAAUACCUGGCUAACUUGGUUUGAUUAGUUAAAACCAAAUGAAAGUAGUUAUAGUCAGAUAUUUUUCAACACCGUAUCAAAUCAAACUGAAUCAUCACUCGAUUUUUUUUUAGUUUGACUCGAUUUGUGGCUUGGUUCAUUUUGCGGUUCGAAUUUAUCACCCCUACCAAAAAUUUUCCUUUAAGAUUUGCAAAGAAGAUAACUAGUGUAAAAUGAUAUUUCAUAUACAUUUAAUUGGAUUUAUUUUUGAUAGGAUAUCCAAUAACCCAUUUGAUGUUCAGUUAAUUUGUUACUAAGUGGAAGUAAAUUUUAUGAGGACUGAGUAUGAGUCGCAAUUGGAUGAAAGAUCAUGAUCCAAAGUUGACAAGUAAAAUAAUAAAAAAAGAAAUCAUUGUGUCUGAAUAUCAUAGAGUCAAUUGUAGUCAGAUUUUUUUUUAUCAACACCAAACCAUGUCAUUAGUCGAGUUUUUUUCAGUUUGACUUGAUUUGUGAUUUGGUGCAUUUGGAGGUUCAAUUCUCUUCACUUCUACCGAAGAUUUUUCCUUUAAGAUUAGAAAAGAAGAUAACUAGUGUGAAACUACUAUUACAUAUACAUUUAAUUGAAUUUAUUUUUGGAUAUGAAAUCCAGUAAUCCAUUUGAUGUUCAAUUAAUGUGUCACUGAAUAAGAGUAAAUGUAAUGAAGAUUGAGUAUGAGUCGUAAUUAGAUAAUAAAACUUGAACUAAAAAUUGACAAGUAAAAUAAAUAAAUAUAUAAAUUGCUAUAUCAAUUGAAUAUCAAAGAGUAUUCAACGGUCCUCUUGGUUUUAUGUGGAGGGGGGGCGUUGGAGUUGGUUGGUGGGUGGAAUUUGAUUUCAUAACUUGUCCAAAGGUAAUUUUUAUGUAUUUACUUAUGAGUUCAACGUUAACACACUGAUAUAUACAAUUAAUCUAUUCAUAAAUACAUGUAUCCUUUGAAUUAUUCAACUUUAUUUAUUCUUUUUACUUUUCAAUGGUUUCUACCUCUUGAUGCACUGAAUCCAGAAAUACUUCCCAAUAAGAAAAAUAGGCUGAAGGAGAAAAUACUUACUAAGAUGAAGAAGAUCUCUGGAAUUGGUGAGUGGUAACAAUAUCAAAAAUGGAACUCACGAGGCUCCUUAAAAUAGAAGUUGUGAUUUGCAUUUUAAUUUGUAUUUUAAAUUUUAAAAUAUUAUGAACAUUACUUCAUAAAACUUUGUUUUUUAAUUUCAAUGGUAUGAUCACCCUCUUUUAUUUUCUAAUCUUGUUCUAGUAAUUAAUAAGGUUUGAUAUAUGCCAAGUCAGGUUCAAUCUUUAGAGAUCUACGCUUCAAGGACAAUACCUAAGGAUUCAAUACUUGGCCAUCCUAGGGAGGAAAGUACGUAUUUGGAUAAUAUCUUUGCAUAUAAGAAGAGUUGUAUCUGAUAAUCCAAUCCAAGGUUGAAUUGAGCAACAUCACAUUUGGAUGAUAGAUUGGACCGUGGAAGGUGCAUUGCUCAAAGUUCCUAAUGGGCUGCUAUGUCAUAUUGGUUCACUUACCAAAUUUUUAAUAAAUAUCUUAUGGCUAUUAAUAGCUAGGUUUCCUCUUUUCCUAGGCUUAGGUAAUAAAUAAUGAUGAGAGAUACAAUAAGGGGUGUUUUGAGCUUGUUGGGAGCUUUGUUGACUUGUUGAGAAACGUGGAUUUUGUGUGACUUAAUUUUUCAUAAAGUCUUCAUAAGAGUUAGAUUUUAUUGUAUGAUUUAUCCUUCG